AUCCCUAACCUGCAAGGAAGGAUUCCUCCCGCCGCUGCAGUUCUCCUCCUCCGUCGCCGAGGGCGCCACUGACGCUGUAUGUUUCCUUCUCAGGUGAUUUCUCUCUCCGUGUCUUUUUGAAGACGCAAGCCACUGGUUUGCCGGCAGCUUGGGGCUGAAGCCCUUUCCGUUCUGCCGUAUUUCAGCUCUCUCUCAUGGAAACAGCCCUCCGUUUUGAACUAUUUUAAAAGCAGUGUUUGCUUCACAUGUCGUGAUUUGUUUGUUUCUGUGCGCGGGGUGACUGAUUGAUUUCCGAUUGUUUAGCCUAUCACUUCAAUGAUAAUUAAAACUACAAUGAAAACCAGGCUGCUCCAGUUGCACUAUGCUGCAAAACCAGGUUGGGAAGUCGAUGGAGAGAGAACUGGAAGUAAAUAUCUGAAUCAUUUGAAAAAUUCACUGAAAGUUAGUUGGAUUGGUUGAAAUAUGAUCAGGUCCUGGAGGAUAAUUUACCCCCUCUUUUUUCCUUAUGAACUAGUAAGCAUAACAUGAAGAAGAUACCAUGAAUUUUGUUUCUUAGGUGCUCCCACCAGUCCUUGCCAUGCAUUCAAGAAUGCCCAGUAACUCAAUUUCUUAGUGGUAUGGCCAAGCCAGUGCCAAUUGGGUGCAUUUUGCAGGCCUGAAGACUCCAGAUAAUUGGGAACUGUAGUAAGAGAUAUUUAACUCUUGACAGAUGCAGCAAGUUUGAAUCACGAAGAAAUCUGAGUAGGGCCAAUGAUGAUGAAGAAGGGCAUAUAAAAUCUGGAGUGAUGAAGAGGAGGACAGGAGGGAGGUAGCCUGCUUAAGCUCACUUUAUGCUUUGUCCAUGUAUGUUAUCCUUUCAAGUCUUAUUUGUACUGCUUCUUCAUUUGAUUGAUGGAUUUUUCUACCAUUAUAAUUUGAUUGGAGUAACUACUAACUUAAACCUUUUUGAUUGGUAGUUUGAAACGUGAACUGCUUUUUUAUUAUCAAAUGUAUUUAAAACAUCUAUAUAAUUGUUUUUCUUGAACAUUACUAACAAA